rnacentral:rRNA from 1 species
CAGCCGCCGCGGUAAUACCAGCCCCGCGAGUGGUCGGGACGGUUAUUGGGCCUAAAGCGCCCGUAGCCGGCCCGGCAAGUCCCUCCUUAAAGCCUCGGGCCCAACCCGAGGACGGGGGGGAUACUGCCGGGCUAGGGGGCGGGAGAGGCCGGCGGUACUCCCGGGGUAGGGGCGAAAUCCGUUAAUCCCGGGAGGACCACCAGUGGCGAAGGCGGCCGGCUGGAACGCGCCCGACGGUGAGGGGCGAAAGCCGGGGGAGCGAACCGGAUUAGAUCCCCGGGUAGUCCCGGCUGUAAACGAUGCGGGCUAGCUGUGGGGCGGGCUUAGAGCCCGCCCAGUGGCGCAGGGAAGCCGUUAAGCCCGCCGCCUGGGGAGUACGGCCGCAAGGCUGAAACUUAAAGGAAUUGGCGGG